UACAGAGGUCCCAAGCGUUGUCCGGAAUCAUUGGGCGUAAAGAGCGCGUAGGUGGCUUUAUAAGUCCGUUGUGAAAGUCAAAGGCUCAACCUUUGAAAGCCGAUGGAUACUGUGAAGCUAGAGUACGGAAGAGGCGAGUGGAAUUCCUGGUGUAGCGGUGGAAUGCGCAGAUAUCAGGAGGAACACCAAUAGCGAAGGCAGCUCGCUGGGACGUUACUGACACUGAGGCGCGAAAGCGUGGGGAGCGAACAGG
rnacentral:rRNA from 1 species